rnacentral:rRNA from 1 species
UACGUAGGGGGCGAGCGUUGUCCGGAUUUAUUGGGCGUAAAGAGCGUGUAGGCGGCCAGGUAGGUCCGUUGUGAAAACUCGGGGCUCAACCCCGAGCCUGCAGUCGAUACGGGCAGGCUAGAGUCCGGCAGGGGAGACUGGAAUUCCUGGUGUAGCGGUGAAAUGCGCAGAUAUCAGGAGGAACACCGGUGGCGAAGGCGGGUCUCUGGGCCGGAACUGACGCUGAGGUGCGAAAGCGUGGGGAGCAAACAGG